UACGUAGGGGGCAAGCGUUGUCCGGAUUAUUGGGCGUAAAGAGCGUGUAGGCGGCCAAGCAGGUCAGCUGUGAAAACUCGAGGCUCAACCUCGAGACGUCGGUUGAAACCGCUUGGCUAGAGUCCGGAAGAGGAGAGUGGAAUUCCCGGUGUAGCGGUGAAAUGCGCAGAUAUCGGGAGGAACACCUGUGGCGAAAGCGGCUCACUGGACCAUAACUGACGCUGAUGGCACGAAAGCUAGGGGAGCAAACAGG
rnacentral:rRNA from 1 species